GCAUAUAGGAAUUGGCCUGACCAGAGCAGGAUAAAGGCAUCGGAGAUAGCACCCCUCCCCAGGCCCCCCUGCAGCAGAACCGGGGGCAUCGUCGGUUCUUUCGGGUCACGAAUAGGUCCACCUGGGGAGUUCCCCACCUCUGGAAAAGCUAGAGGGCCACUUCCAGGUGUAGGGACCACUCAUGCUGAGAGGAAAAAUCCCUGCUCAAGCGAUCCGCCCUAACGUUCCAGGCACCCGGCCCAGUGCGGUACAUGUGGACAGGAGGAGCGCCACAUGAUCCCUCCUCUGCAAUUGGGAGGUGCCCUUGACCAGCCAGUUGUCCAGAUAGGGGAAUAUCUGGACACCCCCCCCACCCGGCACCUGAGUGCCUUCCCGUCAAAAGGGAGAUCCUGCAUCGAUGACUGCGCUUCACUGGACGGCCUGGAGAGCAGAAGCCAGGAUGCCGGUCUCAUGGACACCGCCGAGGCCACGGACUGUGCGGCCGUGUCCGCUACAUCCGAAGCGGCCUGCAGAGACGCCCUUGUGGCAGCUGCCCCUUCC